CCAAUAGCGUAUAUUAAAGUUGUUGCAGUUAAAAAGCUCGUAGUUGAAUUUCGGGAUCAAUUUGCUGGUCGUGCCUCUGGUACGUACUGGUAUUAUUGGUUUCUCCCUUCUGACGAACCAUGAUGUCAUUAAUUUGAUGUCGUGGAGAAUCAGGACUGUUACUUUGAAAAAAUUAGAGUGUUUAAAGCAGGCAUUAGCUGGAAUACAUUAGAAGGGAAUAAUGAAAUAGGACGUUUGAUCCUAUUUUGUUGGUUUCUAGGAUUGACGUAAUGAUUAAUAGGGAUAGUUGGGUGCAUUAGUAAUCAAUUGUCAGAGGUGAAAUUCUUGGAUUUAUUGAAGACUAACUACUGCGAAAGCAUUUGCCAAGGAUGUUUUCAUUAAUCAAGAACGAAAGUUAGGGGAUCGAAGACGAUCAGAUACCGUCGUAGUCUUAACCAUAAACUAUGCCGACUAGGGAUCGGAUGAUGUUAAUUUUUUAAUGACUCAUUCGGCGCCUUACG
rnacentral:rRNA from 1 species